UACGGAGGGUGCAGCGUUAUCCGGAUUUACUGGGUUAAAGGGUGCGUAGGUGGGUAGGUAAGUCAGUGGUGAAAUCUUCGAGCUUAACUCGGAAACUGCCAUUGAUACUAUUUAUCUUGAAUACUUUGGAGGUAAGCGGAAUAUGUCAUGUAGCGGUGAAAUGCUUAGAUAUGACAUAGAACACCGAUUGCGAAGGCAGCUUACUACACAGUUAUUGACACUGAGGCACGAAAGCGUGGGGAUCAAACAGG
rnacentral:rRNA from 1 species